GACGAACGCUGGCGGCGUGCCUAAUACAUGCAAGUUGAGCGCUGAAGGUUGGUACUUGUACCAACUGGAUGAGCAGCGAACGGGUGAGUAACGCGUGGGGAAUCUGCCUUUGAGCGGGGGACAACAUUUGGAAACGAAUGCUAAUACCGCAUAAAAACUUUAAACACAAGUUUUAAGUUUGAAAGAUGCAAUUGCAUCACUCAAAGAUGAUCCCGCGUUGUAUUAGCUAGUUGGUGAGGUAAAGGCUCACCAAGGCGAUGAUACAUAGCCGACCUGAGAGGGUGAUUGGCCACAUUGGGACUGAGACACGGCCCAAACUCCUACGGGAGGCAGCAGUAGGGAAUCUUCGGCAAUGGACGAAAGUCUGACCGAGCAACGCCGCGUGAGUGAAGAAGGUUUUCGGAUCGUAAAACUCUGUUGGUAGAGAAGAACGUUGGUGAGAGUGGAAAGCUCAUCAAGUGACGGUAACUACCCAGAAAGGGACGGCUGACUACGUG
rnacentral:rRNA from 1 species